rnacentral:lncRNA from 1 species
GAGCAGUAGAGGAGAAUUGGAAAACGAAGUUGCUCAGCCUUUUGGUCCGAGUUAUGGAAGAUGAGCGAGUGUGGGUGUGUGGGAGAGAAAGAGAGAGUGAGGAAAGAGACCCAGAAAGAGAGAGAGUGGUUGGUGUGUGCUUGGAGAGGUGUUGUGGGUUUUGCAGAGACAGUAGAGGCGUUAGAUGGACGACUUGUUCUGUGAGGAAACAAGGAUAACGAAGCAAAGCCAUUGCUGUUGAGCUUUGUGACUGUUAAGCCCGAACUUCGAAGUAGGAGGAAGUGUGCGUGUGUG